rnacentral:tRNA from 1 species
GAGAGGUGGCCGAGCGGUCGAAGGCACUGGUCUUGAAAACCAGCGUGGGGCAACCUACCGUGGGUUCGAAUCCCACCCUCUCCG